GACGAACGCUGGCGGCGUGCUUAACACAUGCAAGUCGAACGGAAAGGCCCUGCUUUUGUGGGGUGCUCGAGUGGCGAACGGGUGAGUAACACGUGAGUAACCUGCCCUUGACUUUGGGAUAACUUCAGGAAACUGGGGCUAAUACCGGAUAGGAGCUCCUGCUGCAUGGUGGGGGUUGGAAAGUUUCGGCGGUUGGGGAUGGACUCGCGGCUUAUCAGCUGGUUGGUGGGGUAGUGGCUUACCAAGGCUUUGACGGGUAGCCGGCCUGAGAGGGUGACCGGCCACAUUGGGAAUGAGAGACGGCCCAGACUCCUACGGGAGGCAGCAGUGGGGAAUAUUGCACAAUGGGCGGAAGCCUGAUGCAGCAACGCCGCGUGCGGGAUGACGGCCUUCGGGUUGUAAACCGCUUUCGCCUGUGACGAAGCGUGAGUGACGGUAAUGGGGAAAGAAGCACCGGCUAACUACGG
rnacentral:rRNA from 1 species